AGAGUUUGAUCCUGGCUCAGAACGAACGCUGGCGGUAUGCUUAACACAUGCAAGUCGAACGGAUUUACUUAAGCUUGCUUUUGUAAAUUAGUGGCAAACGGGUGAGUAAUAUAGAGGAAUCUACCUAGCAGUAAGGGAUAACCCUGGGAAACCAGAGCUAAUACCAUAUAUCACCGAUUUAUCGGGAAAGAUUUAUCGCUGUUAGAUGAGCCUCUAUCAGAUUAGCUUGUUGGUAGGGUAAUGGCCUACCAAGGCGAUGAUCUGUAGCUGGUCUGAGAGGAUGAUCAGCCACACUGGGACUGAGACACGGCCCAGACUCCUACGGGAGGCAGCAGUGGGGAAUAUUGGACAAUGGGCGAAAGCCUGAUCCAGCAAUACCGCGUGAAUGAUGAAGGCCUUCGGGUUGUAAAGUUCUUUUAGUAGGGAAGAUAAUGACGGUACCUACAGAAAAAGCACCGGCUAACUUCGUGCCAGCAGCCGCGGUAAUACGAAGGGUGCUAGCGUUGUUCGGAAUUAUUGGGCGUAAAGCGUGCGUAGGCGGUUUGGUAAGUCGGUUGUGAAAGCCCAGAGCUUAACUCUGGAACUGCAAUCGAAACUGCUUGACUAGAGUAUGGUAGGGGAUAGUAGAAUUCCUAGUGUAGGGGUGAAAUCCGUAGAUAUUAGGAGGAAUACCAGUGGCGAAGGCGACUAUCUAGGCCAUUACUGACGCUGAGGUACGAAAGCGUGGGGAGCAAACAGGAUUAGAUACCCUGGUAGUCCACGCAGUAAACGAUGAGUGCUAGCUGUCGGAGUUUUGGGCUUCGGUGGCGAAGCUAACGCGUUAAGCACUCCGCCUGGGGACUACGGCCGCAAGGCUAAAACUCAAAGGAAUUGACGGGGACCCGCACAAGCAGUGGAGCAUGUGGUUUAAUUCGAUGUUACGCGAGGAACCUUACCAGCUCUUGUAUCUUGAUUAACGUUUUCAGAGAUGAAUUCUUCGGUUCGGCCGGAUCAAUGACAGGUGUUGCAUGGCUGUCGUCAGCUCGUGUCGUGAGAUGUUAGGUUAAGUCCUUUAACGAGCGCAACCCUCAUCCUUAUUUGCCAUCGGGUUAUGCCGGGAACUAUAAGGAAACCGCUAGCGACAAGCUAGAGGAAGGUGGGGAUGAUGUCAAGUCAUCAUGGCCCUUAUGGGCUGGGCUACACACAUGCUACAAUGGUGAUUACAACGGGAUGCAAUGGAGUAAUCCGGAGCUAAUCCUGAAAAACCAUCUCAGUUCGAAUUGGGGGCUGCAACUCGCCCCCAUGAAGUUGGAAUUGCUAGUAAUCGCGAAUCAGAACGUCGCGGUGAAUACGUUCUCGGGUCUUGUACACACUGCCCGUCAAGCCAUGGAAGUUGUUUCUACCCGAAUAUGGUGGGCUAACCUGCUUGCAGGAGGUAGCCAUACACGGUAGGAAUAGUGACUGGGGUUAAGUCGUAACAAGGUA
rnacentral:rRNA from 1 species